GAUUAAGUUAUUAAGGGCGCACGGUGGAUGCCUUGGCACUAGAAGCCGAUGAAGGACGUUACUAACGACGAUAUGCUUUGGGGAGCUGUAAGUAAGCUUUGAUCCAGAGAUUUCCGAAUGGGGAAACCCAGCAUGAGUUAUGUCAUGUUAUCGAUAUGUGAAUACAUAGCAUAUCAGAAGGCACACCCGGAGAACUGAAACAUCUUAGUACCCGGAGGAAGAGAAAGAAAAUUCGAUUCCCUUAGUAGCGGCGAGCGAAACGGGAAGAGCCCAAACCAACAAGCUUGCUUGUUGGGGUUGUAGGACACUCUAUACGGAGUUACAAAGGACGACAUUAGACGAAUCAUCUGGAAAGAUGAAUCAAAGAAGGUAAUAAUCCUGUAGUCGAAAAUGUUGUCUCUCUUGAGUGGAUCCUGAGUACGACGGAGCACGUGAAAUUCCGUCGGAAUCUGGGAGGACCAUCUCCUAAGGCUAAAUACUCUCUAGUGACCGAUAGUGAACCAGUACCGUGAGGGAAAGGUGAAAAGCACCCCGGAAGGGGAGUGAAAUAGAACCUGAAACCAUGUGCUUACAAGUAGUCAGAGCCCGUUAAUGGGUGAUGGCGUGCCUUUUGUAGAAUGAACCGGCGAGUUACGAUUUGAUGCAAGGUUAAGCAGUAAAUGUGGAGCCGUAGCGAAAGCGAGUCUGAAUAGGGCGUUUAGUAUUUGGUCGUAGACCCGAAACCAGGUGAUCUACCCUUGGUCAGGUUGAAGUUUCAGGUAACACUGAAUGGAGGACCGAACCGACUUACGUUGAAAAGUGAGCGGAUGAACUGAGGGUAGCGGAGAAAUUCCAAUCGAACCUGGAGAUAGCUGGUUCUCUCCGAAAUAGCUUUAGGGCUAGCCUCAAGUGAUGAUUAUUGGAGGUAGAGCACUGUUUGGACGAGGGGCCCCUCUCGGGUUACCGAAUUCAGACAAACUCCGAAUGCCAAUUAAUUUAACUUGGGAGUCAGAACAUGGGUGAUAAGGUCCGUGUUCGAAAGGGAAACAGCCCAGACCACCAGCUAAGGUCCCAAAAUAUAUGUUAAGUGGAAAAGGAUGUGGCGUUGCCCAGACAACUAGGAUGUUGGCUUAGAAGCAGCCAUCAUUUAAAGAGUGCGUAAUAGCUCACUAGUCGAGUGACACUGCGCCGAAAAUGUACCGGGGCUAAACAUAUUACCGAAGCUGUGGAUUGUCCUUUGGACAAUGGUAGGAGAGCGUUCUAAGGGCGUUGAAGCAUGAUCGUAAGGACAUGUGGAGCGCUUAGAAGUGAGAAUGCCGGUGUGAGUAGCGAAAGACGGGUGAGAAUCCCGUCCACCGAUUGACUAAGGUUUCCAGAGGAAGGCUCGUCCGCUCUGGGUUAGUCGGGUCCUAAGCUGAGGCCGACAGGCGUAGGCGAUGGAUAACAGGUUGAUAUUCCUGUACCACCUAUAAUCGUUUUAAUCGAUGGGGGGACGCAGUAGGAUAGGCGAAGCGUGCGAUUGGAUUGCACGUCUAAGCAGUAAGGCUGAGUAUUAGGCAAAUCCGGUACUCGUUAAGGCUGAGCUGUGAUGGGGAGAAGACAUUGUGUCUUCGAGUCGUUGAUUUCACACUGCCGAGAAAAGCCUCUAGAUAGAAAAUAGGUGCCCGUACCGCAAACCGACACAGGUAGUCAAGAUGAGAAUUCUAAGGUGAGCGAGCGAACUCUCGUUAAGGAACUCGGCAAAAUGACCCCGUAACUUCGGGAGAAGGGGUGCUCUUUAGGGUUAACGCCCAGAAGAGCCGCAGUGAAUAGGCCCAAGCGACUGUUUAUCAAAAACACAGGUCUCUGCUAAACCGUAAGGUGAUGUAUAGGGGCUGACGCCUGCCCGGUGCUGGAAGGUUAAGAGGAGUGGUUAGCUUCUGCGAAGCUACGAAUCGAAGCCCCAGUAAACGGCGGCCGUAACUAUAACGGUCCUAAGGUAGCGAAAUUCCUUGUCGGGUAAGUUCCGACCCGCACGAAAGGCGUAACGAUUUGGGCACUGUCUCAACGAGAGACUCGGUGAAAUCAUAGUACCUGUGAAGAUGCAGGUUACCCGCGACAGGACGGAAAGACCCCGUGGAGCUUUACUGUAGCCUGAUAUUGAAAUUCGGCACAGCUUGUACAGGAUAGGUAGGAGCCUUUGAAACGUGAGCGCUAGCUUACGUGGAGGCGCUGGUGGGAUACUACCCUAGCUGUGUUGGCUUUCUAACCCGCACCACUUAUCGUGGUGGGAGACAGUGUCAGGCGGGCAGUUUGACUGGGGCGGUCGCCUCCUAAAAGGUAACGGAGGCGCUCAAAGGUUCCCUCAGAAUGGUUGGAAAUCAUUCAUAGAGUGUAAAGGCAUAAGGGAGCUUGACUGCGAGACCUACAAGUCGAGCAGGGUCGAAAGACGGACUUAGUGAUCCGGUGGUUCCGCAUGGAAGGGCCAUCGCUCAACGGAUAAAAGCUACCCCGGGGAUAACAGGCUUAUCUCCCCCAAGAGUUCACAUCGACGGGGAGGUUUGGCACCUCGAUGUCGGCUCAUCGCAUCCUGGGGCUGUAGUCGGUCCCAAGGGUUGGGCUGUUCGCCCAUUAAAGCGGUACGCGAGCUGGGUUCAGAACGUCGUGAGACAGUUCGGUCCCUAUCCGUCGUGGGCGUAGGAAAUUUGAGAGGAGCUGUCCUUAGUACGAGAGGACCGGGGAUGGACAUACCUCUGGUGUACCAGUUGUCGUGCCAACGGCAUAGCUGGGUAGCUAUGUGUGGACGGGAUAAGUGCUGAAAGCAUCUAAGCAUGAAGCCCCCCUCAAGAUGAGAUUUCCCAACUUCGGUUAUAAGAUCCCUCAAAGAUGAUGAGGUUAAUAGGUUCGAGGUGGAAGCAUGGUGACAUGUGGAGCUGACGAAUACUAAUCGAUCGAAGACUUAAUCAA
rnacentral:rRNA from 1 species